rnacentral:lncRNA from 1 species
ACCUUUAAGAUCAGAUCCAAAUCCAAAUCCAAAAGAUUUUUAACGAGUUUAUCUUCUUCUAUCUUCCUGUAGAUUUUGUGUGAGUGCUGCAAAGGGGAGAAGAGAGAAGACAAAGAAGGAAGCAAGUUGCAAGGAAGUGGAGAGCGCGUGAGUUUGAACUUUAACUAGUGGCUCAGAAUUCACAAACGAGAUUUGUGGCUUAGAUUGCUCCUCCAUCUAAAGCAACUCUUUCAUUGGUCCACGUGUUUUUAACAUAUCUUUUUUUUCCUGUGUGAGGUCGGCACUUGAAGAAAAAAAAAGACUUAUAACAAAAACAACU